AUUAUGAGGUACGGAAGCCCAUAAGUGCCAUUUUGUCUUAGGACUUUUGUCUUAUGACUAAUGACUUAUGUAUUAUGACUUUUGUCUUAUGUAUUAUGACUUGACAAAAAAGGCGGCAAAAAGGCAAGUUUCAUCACAUGCGCCCAUUAUGGCUGACGGAGGUAAAUCUGAUAGUGAAACAGAAGACAAUUUGGAAAAUGUGAGAAGAAAACGAAUUAAGGAGCUAGUUAAAAAUAUAGCAGGGCAAAAAAAAAGAAGAAGAAACAGCUUAUGAUGGAAAAUCCAAAAAAGAAACAGCGAGGUACUGGUAGACAUGCCAUAUAUAAGUUGCACCUUGGAUGGCUUCAUGAAACUCGUGGGAAGUUAAGACAAGUUACCGCACGGAGAGGAGGCGGUACAAGAAUAUACGAAUUUAAAAAAGAAGAAGAGCAAACUGUUCAGACAGUUAUAAAUUAUGCA